UACAGAGGUCCCAAGCGUUGUUCGGAUUCACUGGGCGUAAAGGGUGCGUAGGUGGUCAGGUAAGUCUGAUGUGAAAGCUCUGGGCUCAACCCAGAAAUGGCAUUGGAUACUAUCUGGCUAGAGGAAUGGAGGGGGGACUGGAAUACUUGGUGUAGCAGUGAAAUGCGUAGAUAUCAAGUGGAACACCAGUGGCGAAGGCGAGUCCCUGGACACUUCCUGACACUGAGGCACGAAAGCUAGGGGAGCAAACAGG
rnacentral:rRNA from 1 species